UACGUAGGGUGCGAGCGUUGUCCGGAAUUAUUGGGCGUAAAGGGCUCGUAGGCGGUCUGUCGCGUCGGGAGUGAAACUCAGGGCUUAACCCUGAGCCUGCUUCCGAUACGGGCAGGCUAGAGUUCGGUAGGGGAGACUGGAAUUCCUGGUGUAGCGGUGAAAUGCGCAGAUAUCAGGAGGAACACCGGUGGCGAAGGCGGGUCUCUGGGCCGAUACUGACGCUGAGGAGCGAAAGCGUGGGGAGCGAACAGG
rnacentral:rRNA from 1 species